rnacentral:lncRNA from 1 species
CGGCGCUUGGCCAUGUCGUGUCGGGGAAGGUAAUGAGCCGCAGAGCCCCGGGGUCUCGGCUGAGCAGCGGCGGCACCAACUAUUCGCGGAGCUGGAAUGACUGGCAACCCAGAUUGACUUGAUGCAAAACAUCACAAAGGCUCCAUGUUAUACAGUAUGCGAUUUUUGAGUUAUGAGCUUUAGAAACUUACCUCUCAUGUGGCAUGUACCUCAGGCUUUAACUUCAGUUUGAUCGUUUUGGGGAAAUUUAUGCAUUUCUUUUUUUUUCUCUCCAUGAUAUUUUUAGAAUAUUAAAG